rnacentral:lncRNA from 1 species
CAUGAAGAUGCUGCUUUUCCCUAUCUCCGACCUCUCCUCCACCCCGUGAGGCGUCCGCUGCCUGGUCUUCGGCCUCGCUGCUCCACCCCACACCGCUGGCCUCUUGGCCCUCCCCUGCUCUCUCCCAUCCAACGCCGUGCCUGGAUCGACCGGGGCGGAAAAUAACCUGAUAUGACAAGUCAAGUUGGAAUAAGAUAAUAUAGCAUUCCCCCAAAAUUAAGGUAUAGACAAACUCUGGAAACAUGCAGGAUUCAUGGAGACGUCUCCCCUGAAAUAUAUAAGCACGCCCAAAUGUAUGCAUAAAAAAGAAACUGCUAAAUUUUGAGAGGUAUGAUACCAUCAUCGACAAGAAAUGUGUGUCCCACCCCCUAACACAGUUGAAAUAUUACUUCCAGUGUGCAGUGAAGUUGCCAACGAUAAUAUCAGAUCUCAAAUAUAGCUACUUCCAUUCCUUGAACCUUACAUGCAUGUAAAAUUAACUUCCUCUCAGUAGCAGAACAUAUAAACAACUUAAACAUAAAGUGGAAAGUAAC